rnacentral:lncRNA from 1 species
GCGCUCCCUCCCUCCUCCGCACAGACACCGGCACAGGGACACGGGGACAGCUCGAGGGCUCCAAGGGCUCCGAGAGACUGGCGGUGCAGUGGACGCUCAUGUGGAAAGCCAGCCAGAAUGGUCAAGAGGUCCUUUCUCCUUCCUUCAACCUGAGAACUUGGCAAUGAUCAAAAGGAGGUGAUUAGUAGCUACAGAGAAAAGACACCAGCAGGCAAGGAGUUAACAGACGCUGAGCCCUUCACCCCCAGGUUCGGGAUGGGGGAGCGGUGGAGAGAGCUGGUCACAAAGGCGAGGGGUCCUGGUGAAAAAGCCCACGUCCUAGAAGCCAACUUUGAAGAACAAAGUAGAGGAUCCAUUAAAAGUUAAUUCAGUAAAUAAACUUCAUUGGCGAUAAAACAAACAAGAAAGAUGGAAGCGCCAACUUAAAAUAGCCAAAAGAUAAUAAAAAUAAAUAGUUUUGAUGUGGCCUCAACAUGUGCUGUGCCUUUUGGCAGGCAGGUCCCUACCCUGGUCCACCCUGCAGAGGCCUCCAUGGAGCACCCUCUCUCCUUUUGAAAAGCCCUCAUGUGUACACGCAAUGUUUUUUGGCAUUUGUCAUUUUUAGGCAACUUCACACAUCAAAGGCGAGCACAAUGUUCUUUUCAGCUCCCUGGUUCCAGCCGCCCAGUGAAGCAGAUACAAUUUCUAUAAAUUGGCCUUCUCCUCUGGGUUUUGAUUGAUCAUCACCAUAUGAGAUUAUUGAAAGUCUAAUGUCUUAUUUCACUUUCCCCGAGGGGUGAGGAGGGGAACAGUUUAUUGGAAGUCAGGCCACGUGAAGGCUCCGAUGUUGUGCAAUAGUCGUUUCCAUGAGCCUGGGCAGAUCAGCCUCCGGAAACUCCCAUGCAUCUCCUGCCGGUUCCUUGUACCACCUUCCCCAUACCCCCUCGAGGUCUCGGCUCCAGUCUCCAGUCGUUGUUAACAGGUACAGAACAGACUGGAGCCUUCUGGAGCCUUUGUAGUUGCAAGUAGAAAAUGGCUGUUGACUAAAAAUAAGGCAACAAAAGAUUCAUUUUUUAACGUAUUUAUUAUAACUCAAGAAUCCCCUCUUGAGGAUUGUUUCUCACUCCAAACUUUCGUGUUCCCCUUUUGCCUCGAUACCAUCUUUCAUUUUAUUAAAGUUGAUUAUGGUUCCUCUGUCUUGUCCUCAG